rnacentral:rRNA from 1 species
UACAGAGGGGGCAAGCGUUGUUCGGAAUUACUGGGCGUAAAGGGCGCGUAGGUGGCCUUCUAAGUCGAACGUGAAAUCCCUGGGCUCAACCCAGGAACUGCGUCCGAGACUGGGAGGCUUGAAUCCGGGAGAGGGAUGCGGAAUUCCAGGUGUAGCGGUGAAAUGCGUAGAUAUCUGGAGGAACACCGGUGGCGAAGGCGGCAUCCUGGACCGGUAUUGACACUGAGGCGCGAAAGCCAGGGGAGCAAACGGG